rnacentral:ncRNA from 1 species
AAUCUUCAGGGCGAGGUGAAAUUCCUCACCGGCUGUAACUGGAUAUAACCAGAAGCCAGCGAGCGAGUCAAUGAUGAUGAGCAUGAUACGGUGCGAUUCCGUAGCCGACAGUAAAGUCUGGAUGGAAGAAGAG